ensembl:processed_transcript
CGUCACGUCCGACUCCGACGCACUGGUUUGGGUGUCUGUAGCCGCGGCUACAGUGCAUCGUGUGGCGGUGGCUUUUCCCUUGGCUGUGGUGGCUGGAUGACUGUUCAAUUGCAGGAACUGAGGUUUCCCCCGGUGGAUGACGGGUCACUUUCCACUGGUGGUGGUGUUUCUCUAUCGUGUGCUGUGGACACUGAGUGCGUGAUAGCGUGAUUUUUGAGUGCACUGUGGUGUGUGCGUGUGCUGGGGUAAAGUCUGUCCACUCGUACCCAGUCAGUGGGAACCUCCAAUCCUGGUUUGGUUUUGUUUAUUUAUUGUUUCUUGUGUUUAAUAAUGAAGUGGGAGUUUUUGAUGUAUUUUUAAAGAACCGUACCAUUUGAUAGUUUUAUUCCAAAUAAAUAUUUUUGUACUUUUUCAUUAACUCACGUCUCUGUGCCUUUCUGGGAGAAACGAACCUGUGUCCUUUUCUAAUAGUGUUUCCCUGGGUAACUCCUGGGGUGGCGUAGUCGGUUAUUUCUAUUUAAAGAGAUUUAAACCCUACUCUAUACCCU